rnacentral:sRNA from 1 species
AUGUCAAUGAGAGAUGAACUGACUUUCUCAAAUCUUACGUUGAUCGCUACGAGCUUAGUGACCUUGAAGACCCUCUGAAGGAAUUACUGGAGAGCAAAAGUGUUGCAUAGUAAGUUCAAAAGCCAUAAGACCGCCAACAUAGGAGAUAUGGCGUAAAAGCAAAUCAUUGGCGUACCUUGGCUGCCAACGUGAGGAAAAUACUUAAAUCGUCGUUGGAGAAUCACCUCCAUAACUUCUGCUCCUAUAAGUUUAGCAGCAUCAAUUGCAAGCUCUGUCACAGUUGGUCCCGUAAUAUCAACAGAAUUUCCAUAAGACGAGAAUAAUAAAAUAUCAGUGUCAGCAUAGAAUUUCUGCAUUGCAACUGGAUUUCCGAUUGUUGCAGGAUUGCUCAUAUAUUCUUCAAAGUAGAAGAAACCGAUCGGCAUAUGUUCUAUUCCUUUAACCUUCAAAACUAUAGUGUAGUAGUCAAUUGUCUGUACUUUGCUAAACAACUCCUUCUCGAAUAAGCUACAUAGUAUGUAGCUAAAUUAGACAAAUACAAACUGUGUGGUGUGAACAUCUUCUCAAAACCAUUUUAGCUGCUGUUUUCGUAAUAAUGUACCCGACAAAGAAGGUGAUUUAUAUAAUUUU